UUUUACCUUGUUGCUUCGGCGGGCCCGCCUUAACUGGCCGCCGGGGGGCUUACGCCCCCGGGCCCGCGCCCGCCGAAGACACCCUCGAACUCUGUCUGAAGAUUGUAGUCUGAGUGAAAAUAUAAAUUAUUUAAAACUUUCAACAACGGAUCUCUUGGUUCCGGCAUCGAUGAAGAACGCAGCGAAAUGCGAUACGUAAUGUGAAUUGCAAAUUCAGUGAAUCAUCGAGUCUUUGAACGCACAUUGCGCCCCCUGGUAUUCCGGGGGGCAUGCCUGUCCGAGCGUCAUUUCUGCCCUCAAGCACGGCUUGUGUGUUGGGCCCCGUCCUCCGAUCCCGGGGGACGGGCCCGAAAGGCAGCGGCGGCACCGCGUCCGGUCCUCGAGCGUAUGGGGCUUUGUCACCCGCUCUGUAGGCCCGGCCGGCGCUUGCCGAUCAACCCAAAUUUUUAUCCAGGUUGACCUCGGAUCAGGUAGGGAUACCCGCUGAACUUAAGCAUAUCAAUA
rnacentral:rRNA from 1 species